GGCUGGUCAGGGAGUGCGGUGGUAUUUACAACUAAUUGGUCACAACCAGUUACAGAUUUCUUUGUCCUUCUCCACUCCCACUUCUUCACUUGACUAUCCUUCA
rnacentral:Y_RNA from 1 species